ensembl:lncRNA
AGUUUUGAGGACAUCUGCUGAAGGGGUUUUCACGACUGGCACAUCGACAGAGGUUGCAGUUAAUAUCAGAAUUAUCUGGAAAUUAAAUGUUGAGAUUGGAGACGUAAGCUGGACGAGGAUAUAAAACUGAAGAUUUUACACCCACAGAGCGCUCUACAGCCGGGAUCCAGAGUCUACAUUAUUAUUAACAAUUAUCCUGGAGAAAAACUAAUGAGGGAGACCAUCAGGACCAAGCUGUGUUUCCUGGGUGCAGAGGUUUCCUUCAUCACAGCUGUCCCGUGCCAGAUGUUGUGUUGACUCACUGACAGACAUCAUUUCAGAAACCUCAGGAAGACUGAAGCUCACCGCAAGGAUCAAGGAGGGCUCAUAAACUUUACCAGCAACUUCAGACCUCAACCAUAGGCUCACCCCAUAACAUGGACAAACCCAGCACCUCAUGAACAGUGUGAUACUGACCUUUGCUUUUUGUAAUGUUAGAAAUACUCACAUCAUCCUCAUAUAAUGCAAAGAGGCUCUCAACUUUUAAAAAUGUUAUAUUCAGUCC